UGCCCUCAGACCCGCGCCUCCUCUCAGGGGCUCAGCUCCGCCCUCCCCAGCAUGCGCCCCGCCGCAGCACCGCCCCUGCGGCGCCCGGCGGAUGUGACGCGCAGUGGGCGCCAUGGCGGACGCGGCGGGCGGGCUGCAGCCGGAGGACUGCCCGGGGACCGGCAGCGCCCAGGCGGGCCGGGCCGCCGCCUGCCAGGGAUGCCCCAACCAGAAGCUGUGCGCUGCGGGCGCCGCCGGCCCGGAUCCGGCGGAGGCGGCGGCGCUGCGGGAGCGGUUGCGGUGUGUGAAGCACGUGGUGCUGGUGCUGUCUGGCAAGGGCGGCGUGGGCAAGAGCACCUUCAGCGCCCUCCUGGCCCACGGGCUGGCGGCGGACGAGAACAAGCAGGUCGCUCUGCUGGACAUAGACAUCUGUGGGCCGUCGAUCCCGAAGAUGCUGGGUCUGGAAGGAGAGCAGGUUCAUCAGAGUGGAUCUGGAUGGUCACCAGUGUAUGUUGAAGAAAACUUAGGUGUCAUGUCAGUGGGGUUCUUGCUCAGUAGUUCUGAUGAUGCUGUCAUCUGGAGAGGACCAAAAAAAAAUGGGCUGAUCAAGCAAUUUCUUCGUGAUGUGGACUGGGGUGAAAUUGACUACCUGAUAAUUGAUACACCUCCAGGAACAUCAGACGAACACUUGUCUAUUGUGCAGUAUCUCCAUGCAUUGCAUGUAGAUGGCGCUGUCAUAAUCACUACCCCUCAGGAAGUAUCACUUCAGGAUGUUCGGAAGGAGAUCAACUUCUGUCAUAAAGUGAAACUGCCAAUCAUAGGUGUUGUGGAAAAUAUGAGUGGCUUUGUAUGUCCAAAAUGUAAGAAUGAAUCUCAGAUCUUUCCCCCGACUACUGGAGGUGCAGAGAAAAUGUGCCAGAACUUAAACGUUUCCCUCCUGGGUAAAGUGCCUCUAGAUCCUCAAAUAGGAAAAAGUUGUGACAAAGGUCAGUCUUUCUUGUCUGAAGCACCUGAGUCUCCAGCUACAUCAUCUUACAGGAACAUCAUUCAGAGGAUUCAGGAAUACUGUGAUCUACAACAUACUCAAGAAGAAAAGAUUAUCUAAUUAUGAGCGAAAAUCAGCUCUGAGAAAUCAGUGAGUGAUGUGUACAAGAGGAGAAGGUAAUUUUGUUUUAUUAACUGUAGUUUGAAAAUUAAACAAGUGAUCAUUGUCUUUUGACUAUACUGUAAUUCUCAGUUAAGAUAAUCCAAUAGUUUCAGGUUAGUUUUUUUUUUUUUUUUUUCUAAGGACAUGUCUGCUCAUAAAAGUUCUGUAUAAACCACAAGCACUGUUCUCAAGCCUUUUACUCCCUUUUGGUGAAAGUCUUAUUUUGAACAUGCCCGAGAAAUGAGUGCUUCACUUCAGUGCAGAAGUAUCGUUCUGUUUUGAACGCCUGGGGAGUCAAGGCUGGCCUGACCAAGCUGCCUGCCCAUGGUGCGGGCACUGCUGCUUCAUCUGGGCUCCUGGCAGCAUCACGCAGCUCCUGCACGCUGGCAGCGAGGCACAGAAUUGCAGCUUUGGGCAUCCUUGGGCAUCCAUUACUGAAAGCUAGUGUUAAUUCAUUUUUUCUAAGAGGGAAAGUAUACAGACCAAUCUGCCUCUGGAAAGGCAACUUGCUCACCAUGUGUAACUUAUAUCAGUGACUAAAGAUAUGUACGAGUCUUCAAUAAAAUGGGUCAGACACGUUUAAUAGAUCUACAGAUCAGUG